GAAGGCAGCGCGGGCUCCACACUUCGAAUGAAGACAUGACGAUAAAAAGAUCAAAUCAACAGAGAGAGGUAAAGUCAACCACAGUUCAGAUCUUGAUUGGCUGAUGGAUAACUUGGAAACACACUCAGACGUAGCUAUACUUCUCAAGUGUGAGUGAGCACUUUUGGCGCCUCUGGGAGACAGAAAAGAAGAGAACUGGCGGAACAGAGCUAUAUUUCAUUCAUCUGAGAGGAUUUCAUCUGCCGCUAUGCUUUUUUUUAUUUUUUAUUUCACAUCUCCUCCCAAAUAAUAAUGGGAAAAAAAACCCAAAAAAACUCACACCACAAGGUUUGAAAAAGAUGCAUCGUUGGCUCCCGGCAAAGUUUUCAUCAAAGCACAAAGACAAUCAUUGUGAACAAGUAGCAAAAUAAAUCAUCCAUCCAUCUUUUUUUAAAUGCUUGUCCUUAUUAAGGUCACAGUUGAGCUGGAGCCAAUCACAGCUGACUUUGGCUAGAAGGUGGAGCACAACCUGAACUCACAUUCACACCUAUUGGGUG